rnacentral:rRNA from 1 species
ACUCCUACGGGAGGCAGCAGUGGGGAAUAUUGGACAAUGGGCGCAAGCCUGAUCCAGCCAUGCCGCGUGAGUGAUGAAGGCCCUAGGGUUGUAAAGCUCUUUCACCGGUGAAGAUAAUGAAGGUAACCGGAGAAGAAGCCCCGGCUAACUUCGUGCCAGCAGCCGCGGUAAUACGAAGGGGGCUAGCGUUGUUCGGAUUUACUGGGCGUAAAGCGCACGUAGGCGGACUAUUAAGUCAGGGGUGAAAUCCCGGGGCUCAACCCCGGAACUGCCUUUGAUACUGGUAGUCUUGAGUUCGUGAGAGGUGAGUGGAAUUCCGAGUGUAGAGGUGAAAUUCGUAGAUAUUCGGAGGAACACCAGUGGCGAAGGCGGCUCACUGGCUCGAUACUGACGCUGAGGUGCGAAAGCGUGGGGAGCAAACAGGAUUAGAAACCCUUGUAGUCCCAUGA